UACGUAGGGUGCAAGCGUUAAUCGGAAUUACUGGGCGUAAAGCGUGCGCAGGCGGUUUUGUAAGUCUGUCGUGAAAGCCCCGGGCUCAACCUGGGAAUUGCGAUGGAGACUGCAAGGCUUGAAUCUGGCAGAGGGGGGUAGAAUUCCACGUGUAGCAGUGAAAUGCGUAGAGAUGUGGAGGAACACCGAUGGCGAAGGCGGCUCACUGGCUCAUUACUGACGCUCAGGCGCGAUAGCGUGGGGAUCAAACAGG
rnacentral:rRNA from 1 species